CACUGGUGUGGCUCAGGAAGACGAGGGGAUCAGGUUCCCUGUCAAAGGUCCACCUCUGUCUUACACGAGAAGCUGAUGGGGUCAAUCCAGCCGUCUGUUUAAUCCCAGCAACAAAGGAAGAUUGUGGUCCAUAAUAAAUAUGGAAGAAGUGAAAAAAUUUUUGCAAAUCACCAUUUUCCAAAUUCUGAUGAAGUGAUUGAUUCAGACAAUGAUCAUCAAUGAUUGAAACUGUUAGCUAAAAGGCAAACAGAGAUUUAUGAUGGAGGAAUCGGGCUGUCAUCACUGAGCCCACCAUCCCCAUCUUAGUAGGAUGGCUGGACAAUGCACACCUCCUGGUAGGUGUGAUAUGAAGCACACAAUAACACCAAUGGAAGACUCUUGCCAAGAAAGUCAAACUUGAAUUUAAUCCAAACUCUACAGCAGCAGUGUCCAAUAGAACUCCUAUGAUUCUGAAAUGUUUGUAUCCAUAUUGUGUAGUAAGGCAGCCCAAGCCAUGUGUGACUACUGAGCACUUUAAUGGAGGCUAGUACAACUGGAUUUUAUUAAAAUUAAAACUGAAUUUUACAUUUCA
rnacentral:lncRNA from 1 species